rnacentral:lncRNA from 1 species
UUUAGAAUCGCAAAAUCCCGUUACUAUUUUCUAAGAAGUCUCAUAGUAUAACUUCGGAUAAAUUUUUUUGCUUAGGGCUCGUUACUUGGAGAUUGGAUGUAAGCAUCUCCACUUUAUUUAUUAUUAAGCCACAAAACUCUUUAGAUGUGUCAUCUUGCAACAUGAAGUAAGAUUCACAAUUAGCUUUUGAAUCCUUUUUCCCUUGCUGCCACGUUAGCCACCUUAAGCUUAUCCAUAAUCUUAAUUAAUUAUUCAUCAAUCUCUUGAUUAACUUGUUAAUUUUUUAUUAAUCAAUAAUUAACCAAUUACUCACAUAAUUAAAAAAAUUCUCAAAUUACUUAAAAUACUACUCACUUUUAACAUACCUUAUACACCUCACAAUCAUGGUCAUGUGAUACCUUAUAUAGCACAAGUCCAUAAAUAUCGGGUAUUAUAGCUUAAACCGUAUUUUAUCCUAAAAUAUCAAACUUCGACGAAACUUACCUUCACGAAUAUACUUAUCAUUGUUUGAAAUAACAUAAUACUUAUAAUCUUUAAAAAAUCUCAUUCUCGAGCUUACGUCGAUUAAAAUUACAACGAAACUUUAACGUACGAAAAUAUGGGAUGUAACAUCUCAUUUCCGAGCUCAUAUCAAUUUACUUACGGCGUACUUUUACGUAUGAAAACAUAGGUGUAGCAUAGCUAUAAAUAAUGGGGUUAAUAACCAUUGUAGACACAUGAAACAUUCUGCACAUAAAAGCAGUAAUUUAUUUUCUUACUACGAUGAAUUCAAGCAUUUGAAUUUUUUCUUGUUCUUGUUAUCGAAAAGGUUAAGUCCUUAACCAAGCUUGUUUUUCAUUUAACUUUAUUCGUUAAUCUAUUUUUUGUUAUUUUUUAUAAAUUCAAUUGUACUAAUAUUAAAGUACUUAAAACUUCAAAUAUUUUUAUUACGUAUAAAAACUACUAUGCAUCCAGUAUGAUCAUUGUCACAGAGGUGGAGCCAAGAUUUGAAACUUAUGAGUUUGGGAUUCUAAAUCUUUUAAGUUAGUGUAUAUUAAAUUAUUUUUUCAUAUUCAAUAAAUUUCAUAAAAUAAACAGUACAUGAUUUGGAUCAAAACUAUUGGAUUCGACGGAAUCCAUAGCUUCUACUCUCCCUCUGCUCCUACUUAUCGACGGGGAGAUAAGACUCUUUAUUAGCAAAAAAUAACAAUAAUAACAAGGAAAAUACAUAGUUUACUCAUCGACCUUGCAACAAAAUUCAUGUUACACACCGCUAGAGAACGAAAAAUAUUUUACACAUUCAACCUUUCAAAAGUGUGUCUAAGACACCAUUUUUGUGUUUGACCAAUUUUUCAAAAUAACGUAAAAGUCACGCCCUAAUAGAGUCGUAAAAUGUGUCAUUGACUUUAAAAAGGAAAAAAAAAAUAUUAAAAAUUACUAUUAAAACUCGUCUUUUUCAUCUUCUUAUUUUCUAUCUUAAGCACCAUUGUUGCUACCACCUAGUUGUUCGUGAGAAAGUUUUCAACAACACCAAAAUUUAACCACACUAUCUAAAUAGCUAGCUGAAAAUAAUCGAGCAACAAAUUGAGUUCAACAACCCAAUAAUCAACAAGACCCAAUUGAAUUUUCAAGUUUUUUUUUAUACUACAACAAUGGUGGAUUCUAGAUUUUUCUCACCAAACCUUUAAUACUAUUGUUAAAGCUUUUAAAUCUAUCACAAAUAAAUGAUUUUCAAAAUAUUUGGAUAAUAAACCAACAAAAACCGCUCAAUUAUAGAUCUAAAAUUUUAUGUUCUUUCAAAAAUUCUAUUCGGGGAAGAAGAUGAGGGGGAGGGUGGUAUGCGGAAGAAGACCAGAGGGGGAGGGAACACAAAAAAUGAGAUAUUUUACGUGUUUCACGUGUUUUUUGUGUGUGUAAACACGCAACUGCUAUCUGGUAAAAAAAAUAGUUUGUCUUAGAUACACUUUUAAAAGGUUGAGUGUGUAAAAGAUGUCUCGUGUAGUAGAGAUGUGUAACAGGGAUUUUGCGAUAAGGUUGAUGGGUAAAUUAUGUAUUUUGCCUAAUAACAAAAAUAACAGUAACAAUCGAUUAAUUUUGUCCCCUAUUUCCAGGAGCUGAAGGGCUCUCAUGUUUUGGAACAUCAAUAUCAAUUGCAGCUAAACUCUGUCUCAGAUCUCUUGCUGCCACUGUGGAACCAAAACGAAAGAAUGGUUGUUCAUUAAAUAUAUUCUUUUAGUUACAUUACAAUUUCAUAGAAGAAAUAACUUAUUAGAUCAUUUUAUUCGAUUAUAGAUUACUUUUGUAUUAAAGUUGCAGUUUACUGGUCGCAAUUUCAUGGAAUAUCAUUUAAGUGGGUGUUUGGACAUAAGAAUUCCAAAAUUCUAAAAAAGUAAUUUUUUUUCAAGUGAAAAAUGAUAUUUGAAAAUUAGAGUUAUCUUUGGACAUGAAUAUAAUUUUGGGUUGUUUUUGAAUUUUUGUGAGUGAUCUAAAUGAAUUUUGAAAAAUAGUUUUUUGGAGUUUUUCAAAUUUUUGAAAAAUUCUAAAAUUCAUCUUCAAGAGAAAAUUAAAAAUUCAGCCAAAUACUGAUUUCGAAAAAAAGUAAAAAAUAAUAUAACUCACUCGUCGUGUCCACUCUUGUGGGUGCUACAGGGAAGAGCAAUCCAGCCAAAAGUAAUAGGACAUAAAGAAAGUAAGCGUAGCCUUGUAGAACAUUGUCUCAAGCACAAAAUAGAAAUUUAUUUUGAAAGAAAUCGUAGCUUUUGUCAAUUUAUUUAUAGGAAAAAAG